CAAAAUAUAUUCAAUUUUCGGCUUAGUUUCAAAAAUUCAGUAUGAAUCGUUUGAUAAAUUUUUCACUUUUAAGAUUGGGCGAGUCUUAUAUAUCAUGUCUUCGGCAAAUGAGCGGUCAGAAAAAGGAUCCUUGCAAGAAGAAAGCGGAUCCAUGCAAGAAGAAAGCGGAUCCUUGCAAGAAGAAAGCUGAUCCUUGCAAGAAGAAAGCUGAUCCUUGCAAAAAGAAGGCUGAUCCCUGCAAAAAGAAGGCUGAUCCCUGUAAAAAGAAGGCUGAUCCCUGUAAAAAGAAGUCUGAUUCAUGCAAAAAGGAUGAAGGCAAAGGAAAAUCUUUAUGUAGUAAAGUACUCACACCAACCUCUCCACGUUGUAAGGACGGAAAAGGGGGCAAGGGUGGAAAAGCUAAGAAAUAAUAAUGUUGUCUAAUCUAACUGUCGUACCUGAACCGAACGGCAACUGACCGUCUGGCGCCUUCUCUGCAAAUACCGGGUGUGGAUCAGUACACAUAAUGGAUCACAAAUUGUUAUAAUGUUGCCGGAACGACAUGAAUCAGUAGUAGUUUACGGCUGGCCAGGCACACAGAGAUCAUAAAACGGAACGCUCAGACAUUAUAAAGCCAUAAAGCAACAAGUAAAAUCGGCGCAAAAAUAGCUGGCCAGAAGGGGAACUAACAGGAGAAAA